UGCGGCGGCCAUGGCCCAGGUGAGACGCCCGGUCCCAUUCCGAACCCGGAAGCUAAGGCCUGGCACGGCGAUGGUACUGCACCCGACAGGGUGUGGGAGAGUAGCACG
rnacentral:rRNA from 1 species